rnacentral:misc_RNA from 1 species
UCUCCGUUGGUGAACCAGCGGAGGGAUCAUUACCGAGUUUACAACUCCCAAACCCCUGUGAACAUACCUUACUGUUGCCUCGGCGGAUCAGCCCGCGCCCGGUAAAACGGGACGGCCCGCCAGAGGACCCCUAAACUCUGUUUUUAUUGUAACUUCUGAGUAAAACAAACAAAUAAAUCAAAACUUUCAACAACGGAUCUCUUGGUUCUG